GACGAACGCUGGCGGCGUGCUUAACACAUGCAAGUCGAACGGAAGGGCACUGCUUUUGUGGGGUGCUCGAGUGGCGAACGGGUGAGUAACACGUGAGUAACCUGCCCUUGACUUUGGGAUAACUUCAGGAAACUGGGGCUAAUCCCGGAUAGGAGCUCAUGCUGCAUGGUGGGGGUUGGAUAGUUUCGGCGGUUGGGGAUGGACUCGCGGCUUAUCAGCUUGUUGGUGGGGUAGUGGCUUACCAAGGCUUUGAAGGGUAGCCGGCCUGAGAGGGUGACCGGCGACAUGGGGCCUGAGAGACGGCCCAGACUCCUACGUGAGGCAGCAGUGGGGAAUAUUGUACAAUGGGCGGAAGCCUGAUGCAGCAACGCCGCGUGCGGGAUGACGGCCUUCGGGUUGUAAACCGCUUUCGCCUGUGACGAAGCUUGAGUGACGGUAAUGGGUGAAGAAGCACCGGCUAACUACGUG
rnacentral:rRNA from 1 species